rnacentral:rRNA from 1 species
GACGAACGCUGGCGGCGUGCUUAACACAUGCAAGUCGAACGGAAAGACGCUGCUUUUGUGGGGUGCUCGAGUGGCGAACGGGGGAGUAACACGUGAGUAACCUGCCCUUGAAUUUGGGAUAACUUCAGGGAACUGGGGCUAAUACCGGAUAGGAGCUCCUGCUGCAUGGGGGGGGUUGGAAAGUUUCGGCGGUUGUGGAUGGACUCGCGGCUUAUCAGCUUGUUGGUGGGGUAGUGGCAUACCAAGUCUUUGACGGGUAGCCGGCCUGGGAGGGUGACCGGCCACAUUGCGCCUGCGGUACGGCCCAGUCUGCUACGUGCGGCAGCAGUGGGGAAUAUUGCACAAUGGGCGGAAGCGUGAUGCAGCAACGCUGCGUUCGUGAUGACGGCUUUCGGGUUGUAAACCGAUUUGGCCUGUGACGAACAGUGAUUGACGGUAAUGGGUAAAAAAGCACCGGCUAACUACGUG